rnacentral:rRNA from 1 species
CAGUAGCCGCGGUAAUACGUAGGGUCCGAGCGUUGUCCGGAAUUAUUGGGCGUAAAGGGCUCGUAGGCGGUUUGUUGCGUCGGGAGUGAAAACCCAGGGCUUAACUUUGGGCUUGCUUUCGAUACGGGCAGACUUGAGGCAUUGAGGGGAGAACGGAAUUCCUGGUGUAGCGGUGAAAUGCGCAGAUAUCAGGAGGAACACCGGUGGCGAAGGCGGUUCUCUGGCAAUGUUCUGACGCUGAGGAGCGAAAGUGUGGGGAGCGAACAGGAUUAGAUACCCGGGUAGUCCCUGUCUCUUAUAA